ACCUGUCAUCAUUCUGUGCCACUGCGACGCCUCAUUGGCCAGAGCUUGAGAGAGGCUGAGGACUCGCUCCCGGUGACCUUCUGAUGUAGACUCCCUCGUCCAACUCACUCGGGACUCCGCAUCCUCCUCUGAAUCCCGGGUCCAGACUGGAGGUCGGCGGUGGAACCGGGAGUGAGCAGCCCGGGGCGGCCGCGAUCUCUGGAUAGCCGAGCCACUUCCGGCGAUUCUAAGGUGGGGAAACUAAGGCCCGAGUGUGGAAGUGACUUGUACAGGGCCACAAAGUCCAUUCAAGUCACUGAACCCAAUGCCCCAGAUAUGAAUCUCCAGCCUGAAAACUGGGCCAAACCGGGACCGAGACAGUCUGAAGCCUUUUUGAAAAAUCUGACGUUGUGGCCCCGCCGGUGUCGUUCGGUGUUGAGCGCCCACCCAGGAGCCAGGCGGCUUCGCUUGGAUUCGCGGUCAGGGCACACCCCCAGCAGGGGG